GUUUUCUUUCUUCUUGUCUU
rnacentral:sRNA from 1 species